GAGGAGGUCCGAGCGGGAUGCGACCUGCGGGGUGGGAGGUCGGUCUUCGUUUGCGCCUUGAAAGAGGUUACAAAUAGUGACCCGCGGGAUGAAGCGGGGCGGCGAGUUCCUCGGAGUGGGUUUUGUUUGCAGAAUGGUUUGUGAGAGUUUUCGGACAGUGAUUUGUUAGCACCGUGUUCUCAGCCUUCCCAAGAAGCAUUCCCAGAAAUGCUAGACGAGCGGCUCGCUUAUUAUUCACAGAUAGUACCGCAAAAAUUCUGUCUUGUCAAAGCCCGGCACUGCAGAGGAGAGAGCUGUGGCAGCCACGAGCAAACAGAAGCACUGCAGGGACCUGCGUCCCUUGCAUGGAACUUGCAGGUGUCUCCUCAUCCACCCGCUGUGUGCGCUGGGUGCUCGUUACCGACAGGACUCUAAUUAGGUCAAUUAGGUUUCUGCAAAUCCAGAAACUCAACUAGUGAAAACCAGCCAGUCCCAAAUCUCCAAUGCUGCUUAACAAGACUGAAUUUUGUACAAAAGGAAAACAAAAAGGAUGAAGCGAUCCAACCUGUGCAGCAUCUUGCAUAACCUCUGCUUCUGGGGGUUGUUUCAACCCUACCACACCCAAAGUGUGGCUCUCUGCAAACAUCUUACGAGCUGGACGAGGGUUAUAGGAAGAGGUAACACCUUUUAUGAGACCAUUUGGGAUAGCUGGCAAAAUUAGACAGGGUUGUAAAUACAUAAAGAUACCUUCUGUUGAGAUAGAAUAGCCUCUCUCCUGUUCUUCAAAUUGACAACAACAAAAGGUUAAAUACAAGUUGGAGUGAAUUGCUUAAAGCUGAAUUAGGUACUGUAUCACACCAUUAUGUAUCACACCAUCUCUGAAGUUUGUGAUUUCAUGCAGACUGAAGAAGUGAUGUUAACAGGAGGCUACAGAAGGAUGACUUCCUGAACUAUACAUUUCCCCAUCAUAAAGGAAUUCUUAACUGUAAGAGAAGAGCAGAGCUGCAGUGGUGUCCCAUCCCAUUCAUGUUUGCAGUCACUGUGAGAUACGCAGUAAGGCUGGAGACCUGUAAGUGGUACCAGCCCCAUGCUGCACCUGAUUGCAUUGGGCACAGCAGCCUCCUGCUGCACUCACAAAACAGGGCAAGUGCAGCAGCACCGCAGAGACUGAGCAAGUUUCAUUGCUGUCACCUCACCCAUUUCUGUGCCAGGCAGGUGUGAGGACAGAAUACCUCUGCUGUCAGUUUCCUUAAGCGAUGUGAACACAGUAACGCCUGCAAUAGAGUAUACAAGUAGUGUGCUUUGUGGUAUUAUUUAUUUAGGAACUGUGAGUAACUACAGCCGUAGCGUUCUCAUCUUUGCAAUUCUGAUGGUUUAACAAACAGGGAAAACAUUAGCAUAUUUUUAUUAAGGUACAAAAUACACCCCAUUGUUGCCUAAAACAUUUAAAAACGUGAGAAAAGCUCUGUAUGUUCUAAAUCAGAUUAAAAACCUUUCUGUAUAAGGAAUCGUGGCAAUACUGUGUUUAGUAUAACAAGAUUCUUUAUCAAUUGAAAAGGAAAAGACAUGCUGGCAAUCUGAACUUAGCAACAAAGAGUAAAGCAAUUAAAAACCAUUGUGUCAUCCACAUUAGUUGAGCUUUGAAUGCAGAAGAGCAAAUCAUAUGAAACACGUACACAACUCGGUAAUAUCAAACAACCUAAGGCUGAUAUUGUACACACCUGUAAUAAAGUACACUGCCUACUUAACUGUGAGGACUUAAGGUAUUCUUUUGAAGAGGUAACUUUUGAAAUUGUUGCACUUUACACACAAAGUGGAAAAGAAUCACUUUUGGAAUGAUACAUAAAUGUAAGAAAGACAUGCUGCUUUUGGAUUAUGCAUAUCACCUUACAGCCUCUGAUAUUACCUCUGAACAGCAACAACAACAAAAAAUAAAAAGUGCCAAUACUGUGAAAGGAAAGCAAAGUUAUUAAGUCUUGAGUGCGUUAACCAUUUCUGAAAGAAAGCUGGGCUCUGGGGUUUUUUGUUUUUUUUUUUUUCUGCAUUUUUUAAAAAGGCAACAGCCUUAGUGGUGCAGGUUCUAGACAAAAACAAGACAGUCAAGCUCAUAGGGUACAAAUAGGUCCUAUAUACGUUAAGAUUCUUUGGAAACUGCUAAGUAUAAAGGAGUUUGUAAUCCAGACUACUAUCUUUUUGGCUACUCCAAAAAAUCUGCGGGAGUUUCCAGCUUAUCAUCAGUUGAAAUCUGUUUUGCAAUUGCCAAAUAAAUGCAAGUAAAAUUUUAACUAACCUGGGAUUCCAUUCACACAUCUGCACGUCAGAGCCAUUCACUGACGGUGCAAUAACCUAUUUCUCAGAGCAGCAUAUAUAUAAACCAAUAGGUCAUUAUUAAACUGACCAGAAAAAGAAAAAAAAAAGAAAAAA